GCAUUCCCAGAACUGGCAGGGAUCUGCUCUGCUGGCCAUUCCCAGGGUUGGCAGGGAUCUGCUCUGCUGGGCAUUCCCAGGGUUGGCAGGGAUCUGCUCUCCUGGGCAUUCCCAGGGCUGGCAGGGAUCUGCUCUCCUGGGCAUUCCCAGGGCUGGCAGGGAUCUGCUCUCCUGGGCAUUCCUGGGGUUGGCAGGAACCUGCUCUCCUGGGCAUUCCCAGGGCUGGCAGGGAUCUGCUCUCCUGGGCAUUCCUGGGGUUGGCAGGGAUCUGCUCUCCUGGGCAUUCCCAGGGCUGGCAGGGAUCUGCUCUCCUGGGCAUUCCCAGAACUGGCAGGGAUCUGCUCUCCUGGGCAUUCCCAGGAGCUGGAGCUGCCAUCCUGUGGCUCAGAGCCAACUGUCCCAGCUGUUCCUGGGACACAGGGCCAGGUGAUGGGCACAAAGUGUCACCCUGGGUCCUGCCAUGCUCUGGGAGGCGUUUUGUUCUCAUCCAAACACCCCCAUGGUCAGACAUCUCCAGUUUCUGUCCAAGAUUUUGUAUUUGCUGGGUGUAGGGGAAGGCACUUGAGUGUCUGCCCGGGCCUCCUUGGGUGGCUCUUUGUGUUUGAAAUACCAAAUUGGGCUGAGCUCAGGGCGCUGGGCAGCCCCUCAGGGCUCGCUGGGGACAUGCUGGUGGCUCCUGUGCUCCCCGACAGUUCCUGGCUUCCUUCACUUGCACUGGGGGAAAUCAAAGCACAGAGGCCCCGUGUUCCUGAGGGUGCUGAUGGAGCACAAAUCACCCGGGGAGGGUGGGGGCCUUGCUGCAUCCUGGGCAGGGAACAGAGCUGUGUCUGUUUUUGAUGGAAAAGCACUGAAAUCACUUUCAAUCCAAAGGCCUUUUUAAGCUGAAGCAAUAUUCCCCCAGCAGUGGGGCAGCUGAGUGGUGCAGGGGUGCUCAGCCUUCCCUUCCCCUGUCCUUUGUACUACUGCUCCCCUGCCCUUCUCCCCGGGAGCCCAGCGCUGGUGGUGAGGAGCAAAAGAAUUCCUGGGGGCUUUUCCAAGGAACAGGAGGGGCCCGAGGCUGCCAGAGCUCCAGGAGCCUUUGGACAAGGCUGGGUGGCACAGGGUGGGAUUGUUGGGGUGUGUGACAGGGCUGUCAGGCACAGGGUGGCAUUGUUGGGGUGUGUGACAGGGCUGGGUGGCACAGGGUGGCAUUGUUGGGGUGUGUGACAGGGCUGUCAGGCACAGGGUGGGAUUGUUGGGGUAUCAGUGCAGGGUCAGUGGUUGGAUUGGAUGUUCCUGUGGGGCCAUUCCAGCACAGAUAUUCCAUGGCUCUGUGAUUUAGGUGUUGAUGACAAGGAAAAGGGAGUUCCAGACUGGAUCCUGUGGCAGCAGGAGCGUUUCCCUCCCUGCCUCUGGAGCAGCAGCAGCUGCAGCAUCGCCUGCUCUGGUUCACCAGCUGAAUUUCACUGCAGAGCAGUGACCCCCACUGAGGUGAUUCCACAUCUCUGCUCAGGAUCCCCUGGUGAGGAGCAUUUAGGGAUUAGAAAUUAACUCAAUUUUUGAAUCUAAACAUUGCACAAAAUUGUCCCCAAGAGCAUCUCCCACCCGUGGUGGUGGUGGGGGAACCCAAGAAUCCCCUGCCUGUGCCAGUUCCUGCUGUUUCCCACUGCCAGCUCUUGCUUGGGAGAGGAAAUCCUGCAUUUUGUAAACCUGGGGAGGGAGGAGGCAGCGUGGGCUGGUUUGGAGCUGGAGCAGCAUCUGCCCACUCCUCACUGGUAGUCCUGGACAGACACUCCCAUUCCUGGCGGGGACAGCCUGGCAGAGGCCAACGUGCAGCUGACAGAGUUGUUCUCAGAGGAGACUGAGAGGUGUCUCUGCACGCUUGGGUCAGUCCUGGUCUCUCCUUGGCUCCUCUCAGGCUGAUUUUCCAGGCUGCUGGAGAGGGGGAAGCAGAGGAUGAGGAGGGAGGUGUGACCCUGGGCACUCACAGGUGUUCAGCAGCUGCUGCUGCUGCCCCUGGAAAGGCUCUUCAGAGCUCCCCUGGCACUUCCCAAACCAUCCCUGCCCGGCUGGUUCCUCCUGCUGGCUUUCCCUGGUGCCCUUGCUCAGUGUGGGUUUGCUGUGCCCGUCCCUGGCAGCGCAGGGGUGCCGUUCCCAGAGCCAUCCCAUGGGACUGUGCCCAUCUGGCUGUGCCAUCCAGGAGGGGCAGGCUGGUGACCCAGGACAUGGAGGUGGCCCCAGGCUGGCACUGGCCAGGGGAGGGUGGUGCUGGUGGCUCGGGAGUUUCCACCUGUCAGUGCCUUAGUUCCAUUUCAUGGACCAACACUUAGCUUGGGCUGCUUUUCUUCCCUUUCUUCUUAAGGAAAUCGAUUUUCUCAGUGCCCACCGAGGUCUGGGCACGCUCCUGGUGCAGCCUGGGGGGGCAUCAGAGGGUGAGCAGAGGGCGCUGGGUGUGAGGAGAUUGUUUGGGGUCAGGGGCUGGGUGUGAUAAACCCUGCAAUGGGGACAAAGCCCGGGAAGUUCUGUGUGGGGUGUGGGGUGAUGGCUUUCAGAAAGGGGGAUCCUCUGGGGUUCCUGGGGUGGGACCUGCCUGUCCCACUGCUGGGCUCCUUCCCACCCACAGUAAAUGCACCUCCACACGGGAUUUACAAUAAAGGAUGUCGUGACAGAGUUUAAACCAUUACACUUUGGUCCCCCAGAAAUGAAUUUAUUGGCACUGCAGGGAACGGUGGCAUCAAAAAUCCAGGAUUUCCAAAGCCUGAUGUCAGAGUGUUUGUGGCAGGGAAAGGAACCUGGUGAGGGAGGAGGUUUUGGUUUCCCUUUUCAGGACACAGAACUGGAAUUAGAGCCUGACCAAUGUCCCAAACCCCAUGGACAGGCUGUGGCACAGGAGGUGCCAGCACGGCUCUGGGGGUUCAGGUUUUGAGCCAGGUGGGCGGCAAGGGAAGGAAUUUGAUGUGGAAUUUUACUUUCCCUCCAGGAGUUUACAGGAAGGAGGAGGUUCCAAGCAGUUGCACUGGUUGGGGAGGUGGAAUUUUAUUUUCUUUUUUGGUUGCACAAAACAGCUGCUGGAGCAGCAGUUCCUGGUCAGGUCGUUACCGGGAGGGACCCUCGGGAGGGAUCUUCAGGAGGGACCUUCCAGGAGGGUUCCUCAGGAGGGAUCCUCGAAAAGGAUCCUCAGGAGGGAACCUUGGGAGGGACUUUCAGGAGGGAUCCUUGGGAGGGAUUCUUCGGGAGGAUCUUCAGGAGGGACCCCCAGGAGGAAUGAUCAGAAAGGAUCCUCAGGAGGGAUCCUCUGGAGGGUUCCUCAGGUGGGAUCCUCAGGAAGGACUCUCAGGAGGGAUCUUCAGGAGGGACCCUCAGGAAGAAUCCUUAGAAAGGAUCUUCAGGAGGGACCCUCGGGAGGAACCUUCAGGAGGGAUCCUCAGGAGGGAUCCUCAGGAGGUUUCUUCAGGAGGGAUCCUCGGGAGGGACCCUCGGGAGGAACCUUCAGGAGGGAUCCUCAGGAGGGAUCCUCAGGAGGUUUCUUCAGGAGGGUUCCUCGGGAGGGACCCUCGGGAGGAAGGCAGCAAAGACCAUCCAUGGCAGGGGGCUGGAUCGGGAGCGGCUCCGGGGUUUCUCCCCUCCGGGGAGGCUCCGUGCGAUGGUUCCUGUGGUUCCUGAGAGCCGCGGGAGGUGCGGAGAGCAGGGCUGGGGUUGCCCACAGCGGGGAUGUGGGGGGCGGCGGGGCCGUGGCAGCAUCGCUUUGCUGAUUGAUUAAUUGAUUGAUUGAUUGAUUAAUUAUCGCAGGUAAUUGCAGGGCUGGGCAGAGCGCUGCCCAUGUGACACGGGGACAGGGCACAGGGGACAGGAGCUGGUGCCGGGAGCGAGCAGCCCUGGGUGGUUUUUAACGCUUAGAGUCGGAGAGCUUACAGUAAUAUAUUUUAAAUAAUAUAUAUAUUUUAGUAUCUGAAAGGAGCAGGCAAAGGAGGGGUUCUGGUGGUGACAGGGUAGCGGGGCCGUCCCUCGGCCAGGCCAGCGGGGUUUCUGCAGCACAACUGAACAGGCUCCGUUCCUGCCGUUAAUGCAAUAAAAACGGGAAUUCUCACAAACAAGCAAUCCAAUACUGUUUCCCAGAGGCUUUUCCUGUGUGGACAACAGGCCUGUAAACAUAGUUCCAAAAAUCCUAAACCUUUGUCUUUUGCCUUUUUAAAAGGGACUUCGAUUGGGCUUGAGGGUCUGUACAGCAAAAUCGAGGUGACACCAUUUGAAAAUGUAUUUUUACACAAAUAAUAUAGAAAAAAAAUCAUAUUUUACAUAAGAAUUUUAAGUAUUUGAAAUAUGUGUAUAUAUAUACUGUAUGUACUUCGUAUAUGCUUUAUUUUACAUUUUCAAUGUAUUAAAAAGUAUUUGAGCUGG